rnacentral:lncRNA from 1 species
AGUUGGCUUACUGCCUAACAGUUUAGCCAUGAAGCUGUGCUGUUUUCAGUACUUCUAAUGGGUCCUGCCUCUUCACUUGUGCUUGUUGUAAAAGUCCUGGGGGUCUGGACAGUGAUGGACUAGUGACAUAGGAGCUUGUCUUUGAUUUCAUGUGAAGAAAACAUUCCCCUAGUAAUGAAUGGAUUCUUUCACACUACAAGAGUUUUAGGGACUGAGAAAAACACUGCCUUAACGGUGCCCUCUAAUUUCUACUUUAUUGCCUUGGAGGGUGCACUGUGUCAGAUUUUUAUUCUUAAAUACUAAAUGCCUUUGCUGUCUUUGAGGGUAAAGGUAGAGACUUGUUGGGCCCAUGAAAGCUCUUGUCAUGGUGGCUGUUGUCAUGGAAGAGGAGGAUGAACCUUGAAAUCUAUGGCUCUCUAGUAAAUCCCUGCCUCUGUUCUAUGUUGCUGAACUUUGUGAUCUUGAGGACAGAAGUAAAAAAGUUAAUCAGCCAACAAGGGAGUUAUAUUUAGAAAUCUCUCAUCAGCUUGUUGCUUUCUGAGUAUCCUGCUGAUACUGGGAGAGUGAGGCUAGAAGACCAGGCCACAUGGUAGUAGCUUUGUGAAGUGGGUAGGGGUGAAGAGUGGGCCACUUGUUUGUGGAGCAGCUGUCCUGGCAUUCAGAUGCUUGCAGCUCUGUUCUGGGACAGUUCUAUUGGAUUCUGUCAGGUUGCACUGUAGCCUUUCUGGGUUAUUUGAAUAUCAUUCAGUUUAUUAUCUACUGCACAGAGUUGUAAAUCUCACGCAGUGGCUUUCCCGGGGCUUUGCCUCUUUCAUAGCCUUUGAGACAGGCCAUGGCAGUAG